rnacentral:lncRNA from 1 species
UACCAUGAAGAGCUUCAUCAAGGCUACCACCAGGAAGGUAAUCAUAGAGGAGAAGUUUUGAUGUGGGUGAAUUGCAGUAUCCACGUAGAUUCACGAGGUAACGGUGUUUGAUGCUUCCAAGAAUCUCAAGCUCCCUUUCGAAAAACCUAUCAAACCCUUCGUUUAACUUUACUAUUUUCUUCAGCGCAAAAACAUUGCCAUCCUCCAUGUCGAGUUUGUAAACUGUUCCAAAACCUCCACACCCUAUUAUAUGCUCUUCGUUAAGAGCUUCCAGUUUCUUGAUUAUGUCUUUAGAAGCAUAUGGCAGAUCUCCAUGGAACAUCACGAUAGACGCACCUGUAUAAACAAAACCGUCUCUCAUGGUGUCAAGUUUGAGAGUAAUAUAUAUAACCGAGUUCCAAAUUUUUUGAGGCUGCAUGGCUCACCUCCACUGACAUCUAUGGCAAGGCUUUUACUCUCAACUCUUCCAAGCUUUUUAUAAAGAAAGCAUCCCCAGAAACCCAUGAGCGCCACUAGGAGCAACCCACCCACAGUAGCUGAUGCACUUAUAAGCAGCUUAACGGUUUUACCUCCUUGGCCUAUAUAUGGGAGACCAAAAAGCGAAUUCAUGUCACAAAAAUUUCUACAGAAUAGUAAAAUCUAAGCUAUAAUUCAUAUACCCUGACAAGCAAAUUGAUGAAAACACAGCUAAUUUUUACCUGCCGUAGACCCAGUAGAAGAGUUUCCCCUGUCAUCUAGGCACACCACAUCAAUUUGUUUUCCACACAAGUUAAGAUUUCCAAUGAAGCUGCAGAGAGUAAUGCAUUCAAUUCAAGGUUCCGUUAUUUUCAAAGCUAGCAACAUGGUGCUGUUGUGCAGUCACGAAAAUAUAACUGUUUUGCCAGAUCAACAGAAGAGAAAGAGGUAAAGAUGAAGUAUACUUACGAGUCCUUUGAAAAUCGGGCGAGUAAGCUAUCAGAAGGUAUUUUUCCCUCCAGAAAAUUGUUUGAGACAUUGCUUCAAAAGAAGAAUCAACUAGUUAACAACAAUGACACUAGAAAGAUAUACACAUGGCUGCAAAUACGCAAGUUAAGUCUAGCUCACUCACAAAGUAGUCAGCUUCUCCAACUGCCCAAAUGAAACAGGGAUAGCUCCAUUGAGAUUGUUGUUUGAGAUGUCCCUUUAUAAAAAGAGAAAAAAUCAGUUUAGUAGUUCAGAAAAAUUCAAAUCAUAUGCCCAUUUGAUCUGAGUGAAGCCCUAGCAUAAACACUCAUCAUUAUAUUCUAGAAGGAGAGGGAGAAAGACUGCGUACAGAUCUUUAAGCGCAGACAAGUUUCCCAUUUCGCUUGGGAUUGUCCCAGUCAAGUAAUUGUUCUGCAAGUAUCUGCAUGCAAACAAUUUCAAACAGGUUUCUGUAAGCCAGCUAAGCUUUUAACUGAAAAAUAAAUAGGUUCAUCACCACUCACAAGACAACAAUCUUAUACACACAAUAAAGUCAGUUGUCACGAAAAUUCUAUUAAUUUAAGAAAACAAAAAAAAAAUCUCAGAAAUGAAGUGUAACUAGCAUAAAUAUUGUUAUGGGAAAGCACUUACAUUCCCUCCAAUGCUGUGCAAUUUCCCAAUGCUGCAGGUAUUGAGCCAUAUAAAGCGUUGUUAUGAAGCAUUCUGCGAUACCAAGGGAAUACAGAAACGUUAUGCAUGGGGGAUACUCUAAUCAGAAAUAAAAUUUAAAUAAGGUUGGCACAUACAAAAGCCUCAACUGAUCCAGCUGUCCAAGCUCAGGAGGUAAAGGUCCCCUUAACGUCUGAUGAUCAAGAUUCCUGCGCACAAGAAACAUUAGGGAUGAGCAAAAGAUGCAGCAUAUACUAACGAAAAAGUAGUUAAAACCAAACAAGUUUCAAAACUUACAAGGCUACAACUCUUUUUGUUUUAGAAUCACAAGUCACUCCCUUCCAGUUACACGGAUCAGGAUCCUCUGGUCUCCACUGACUGAUGCCACCAUCAGAUUUAGAAACUCCACUUCUAAAACUCACAAGCGCCUCACCUAGUAAAAGAAAGGAACACAAAAGAUUUAUUAUAAAUUAUUGUCAAAACACAAACUACGGAAGAGAUUUGAAGGAAACAAAUCGGAUGUACCAUCAGGACUAAGCGCGUCAUUAACAAUCGUCAGUGCACAAAGAAAAGUGAUGAAAAGAAGCCUUGAGCAGCAGUGGUUCCUCACACAGAUGCCCAUGGCAGCGUUCAAGCAUAGUGAUUGCCAAUCAUCUGAAAGAACAACCUUCAGAAUCCUCCCCUCGUAUCAUAUACUCAGUGAUGCUCUUUCUUUCUUGAAGAAACACAAAGAGACUCGACUCCUGAGGAUAAAAGUAUCAUUAGAUUGUAUAACAACAAUAACAAGCAGAGCCCACCCCUUUCAGUAACAAGACUCAAUCAAAACAAGAUUCCAGAUUCUUCUUCUAUUGACCUCAAUUACGCAUCAAGCUUCCCACAACAUCAAUUCAAAGAUCAUUGCAUGGCUCUCUCUCAUCUACAUCUACAGCACUCAGAGGCUGCAACAGUGAGGUAGUCCCAAAUCGGAUCAAAUCCAUCUCCCAAUUUUCCAGAAUUAGAAAUCGAAAUUGCAAUUCUAAUCAAAUGAACCUAAUAAACUCCCUCCCUCUCUAACGAGAAGCUAAAAUCUGACUAUCAUCGCAGUCACAGCACAAGUAGAACUCUAGCCGUAGAAACAAUCUUAAAACGAAAUCGAGAUCGAUUCACACACUCUUUUGGGAGAUCAACACGAACCUGAGAAUGGAUCCGCGAGGAGGAAGGAGGAGGAAGACGACGAAGUUGAGCUGUAAAGCAAACACUUUACGACUUCACAAAAAAUAAUCUGACUUUUUUUUUUUUAAUUUAAUUUUAAUGAGAGAGAGUGAAGAGAGAGAGUGAAGAGAAGGAAUCGGCUGGUUACGUACGACCCAAUGAGAGAGGCGAAGUGGAGUUCACACGUGCUGAGCCGUGACUUCCCGCACGUGUCGACCGACGCUUUCUAUGGAAAACCCAAUAAUGUUAUUCUUCACGGGGCUAGAGCUUGUUGGGUUUUGGGGGGGGGGGGGUGGGUCUGUUAAGUAUAAUAUGGGCCCAAUAAGCCCAUAAUUAUAAAACCGGUUAACAAUAGCAACUAGCAACCGAGAAACUGAAAUAUUAGAAUUUAGAAAUGGUUUUCCUGUUAAAGUGACAAAAAAAAAAGUGUGCGACUCUUGUGCACAAAAAAAAAAAAUGUGCAACUCACAUUUUUGUAUCUUAAAUUUGAAAAUUUUUUCUGUUAGAUGACAAAUUAUGCGACUUUUUUGUUUGAAUUCUAAUUUGUCUCUGUUAGCAGAUAAGUUGGCAAGAAUAUCAUGAUUCUGGAGCUCUUGGUUUUGCAUUCGCUUUGUAUUGUAGGUGAUUGAAAUCUGGCGAUGUGUUGGGAAGCUUACAAAAGCUCAAAAAGAGUACAUGCUUGAUGAAAAAAUUAAAUGGACCUAAACUCCUGCUUCAUUGUUGUAUUUGUGAAUUUUGUUUUCAUCCUAUAGCACAUAUAAUUAGUAGUUGCAAAUCAAUUGGAAAACUGAAUAACAUGGAUUUUAGAUAGAAUCUAGCAAAACCAUAAGUCUAAACACCAAGAGAGACAUCAUAUAUAACACACAAAGAGCCAGAGCCAAAACCACCAACAAAUUAUCCAACUACAUAUAGUCACAAGACUCUCUUAUUACAAAAUCGCAAGACUCUUUAUCUUAUUACAAAAGAAAAUCUUCUUCAUACGCUCUAGCUCUUCCUUGCAAGAACCUGACAAGCAAACCAAAAAAAAAAAAAAAAUUAAGGAGACUGUUUGAAGCAUUUAUCGAACUAAGGAACCCGAAGUAUUUAAGUACAAAUUAAAAAAAAAAUAAAAAAAAUAAAGCUACAAAUUAACCUCAGCUAGUUUUUCCUCGAAUUUUAGCAAUUUGUUAACGAGGUAUUUCAGCUCAUCCUGAGUCAAAUCCGCGACGUUGAUGCUAGCCAUAGCCUUCGUGAGAGACUCAACUUGCUCAUCAGCACUGGAUCUACCCAUCACAUAAAAAUGUUGUGUUUAUAUACCUGAGAGUAGGGACCCUUCUAUUUAUCUCACUGUUAAUUGGUUUUAUAAUUAUAUGCCCUUAUUUGUUACGACCCAACAGACUAGUUUAGAAUGAUCGUCCUCAACAGACCCAUAUUAGGAGGAUUAUUCUUCAAGAUCCUGGUUAAGAUAAUCCUCAUGAUAUUAAUGGUUUUCUUCAUUAGUUCGCUUUGGACAUUUGGGGUUUCAAUCGGGUUUCGGUUUUAUCCAAUCGGAUUUCGGUUAUUCGGGUUUAUAAAAAUCAGUCCCAUUCGGAUUAUAUGAAAGUUAACCGGUUCGGGUUCUAUCGAGUUCAGGUCGGGGUUAGUAAAUCUUCAAAGAACAAGUACAACCCGAUAUACUUUCGGGUUAGAGUCCCAAUCGAUUAUUUGGUUUAAAAGUACCUGAUUUAUACUUAAUUUGUAACCAAAUAUAAGUAAAAACGGUUCUUCGGUUUUAAAGUACCUGAUUUGUACAUAUUUUAUAAUUAAGACAUAAGUAAAACCGAUUCAAAAUAAGAAAGAAACAUCAAACGUGAUCAUUUAAAAUCAAACGAAAAGUAAACAUAUUUAUUGAUUAAAAAGAAAAAACCAAAUAAAUAAAAGUAUAAAACGAAAACUAAGUUCUAAUGAGCUGAGAAACGUUAUUCAAUGAAAACAAAACUAAAAUCUAAAAUUUAUCUAAAAUUUCAAUCCUCAACUGUGACAUUCAACUAUCAACCUUCGUAUAAUAGAAAAUUAUUUUAGAUGUUCAAUAAUAUAUUGAUCAAAAAAAUAAAAUAGGAGAAAAAAGUAGGAGUCGUACUCGUUUGAAGUAUAUCUGUGUGGAUUGACUUGAUUGAUAGAAUUCUUGUUUGUUUUGAUGUUCUUAUAUUCUGUUCAUUUUGAUCAAAAAAAAAUAUAUAUAUUAUGUUCAUCAGGGGACUGUUACCCCUAAUCUUCUUAAUCUUUUUGAUUGGUUGUUAUACAUUUAUUACUGAAAGCUGCAAGCACGGGCAAUGAUGGUCACAGUUUUUGCUAAAUAUACUAAUUAAGGACUCCAAUAAGGUGUAACGGUUUAAGAUAUCACAAGGACGAUAAAAAGAUUUGAUUUUUGUGAGUUUAAUCUGCUGGAGGCUGGUAGAAUUAAAUAUGUGGAUUUAGACUUGAAGAUUGAGGGUAUUUUAGGCAAGAACAAGUAGAUGGGCUUGAAGAAGCAGAUAUCUUUUAAAAACUUAUAGCUUAUAAUCGUAGUUUGCAAACUGGAGUCUAGAGUCUAGCAAAGAGAACACAAGUCUGUAGAUAUAAUCACAUCACCAGAGAUUUUAAAACACAAGCAACCAUAAGUACAUAGUCUUAUAAUUAUUCAAGAAAAAAGAGUCAAUCUCUGUCCUGUGCCCCCACAAGAAGGAUUAUGUUCAGUCACAGAGAGCCAUGGUUGUGUCCAAGGAGAUUGAUUCCUAGAUGAUCCAAGAAAAAAAAAAGUUGUCAGAAGAGUAAAAAAAAUUCAGAAUCAACACAGUGGAUAAUAAAAUAUAUAUUUUUCUACCUUGCUGACUCGGGCGGCAUGUUUUAUCUUGUCCAUCUCUUGCAUUACGUUCAUAAGAGCACGCGUUAUAUCAAAGCCCAACACAUACAGCUCAGCGUAACUCAUACCGUCAAGCUCUUUACCAAUCAUUCGUCUGUAAUGAGCACACACACACACCCAAUCAGUGAAAAAGACAGGCACAAGCAGCAGAAAAUAAUAUAUUUAAAAGGAGGAGGGAGGGGGAAUGAAUGUUUGUUUACAUACUGGCUCAAAAGCAGCAGUCUCUUCUUCUCGAUCUUCAAAGACUCGAUGGUUAACAUCUGCAAGAACAUCAGACAAUAUAUGAGAGGCGACAAGACAUGAGAGGUGAGAGAAUAUGGGCAAUGAAUAUCGAUACUCACCAGUUCUUCAUGGUCAUGACUAUGCUCCUGUUGGCUGUCUUGAGGGCUGUAUCCACAAGAAGAUCGGUGAUGAUUUCAUCUUUAGGAAAGAAAAUUUGAUAAUAGCUCUAAGCCUACUUAAUUACCUGAGGCGGAGUUCUCUAGACUUGUUCCUCACAGCUGUUCUUCUUCUUGACAGACGCGCUUGAUAGGCCAAAUCCUCUUUCUCGAGUUUGUCAGUCCAAUCCAUCCCCAUAACAACGCUCUCCACAAUCUGAAACGAGAUGAUGAUGUCAAAAUCGGUAUAUACAACAAACAGAAAAAAAAAAACCAAUGAUCAGAGAUCUAUACCUGCAUGGUUGCGAAGUCAUAAUAGGCCUGAAACAAAAGGUAAGGAGGGCUUAUUAAAAAUCAAACCUAUAUGAUUGGGAAAAAAAAAUAAUAACAAACACAACCUUGUCGGUUUGUUCUUCCACAACGACUAAACCCUGGUUUAGCAUGUUUUCAAUUGAAGAUAGCUCAGAGUAGCUCAGACCAUUGAGCCCCUCACCAUUCAGUUUCCUAUAAUGGUUUUCCAAUAAGUCAAAAAAGAAAGGGGAACCGAACAAAAAAAAAAAAAAAACAAGGGGUUAAAAGAGUCUUACUCGUUGGGAAUCUGUAACAACUUGAUCUCCUCCUGCUGUAAGAACACACGCAACAAAAAAGAUUCUUGUAAGAAUGAAUUAAAAAAAAAAAAAAAAAAAAAAAAAUAAAUUAAAAAAAAAAAAAAAAAAAAGACAAGUCUUUUGUAAUUGAAGGUCGAGUGCAUACCAAUUCUUGGAUAGCUUGAAUAUACUGGAGCCUUUGUUGUACAGAGGUGCGUGUACAUCUGUGGAAGAAUAAGAACAAAAAGUCAGUCUCAAUUGAAUUAUCUGAGAGCCAAAUCAAACCAAACCCUAAGCUAGGUCAGACUCUAGGAUCGAAACCAACAACAAAUAACUAAUUCAGACAAGUCUUUUGUAAUUGAAGGUAACGAUGUUUGAUGCUUCCAAGAAUCUCAAGCUCCCUUUCGAAAAACCUAUCAAACCCUUCGUUUAACUUUACUAUUUUCUUCAGCGCAAAAACAUUGCCAUCCUCCAUGUCGAGUUUGUAAACUGUUCCGAAGCCUCCACAGCCUAUUAUAUGCUCUUCGUUAAGAGAUUCCGGUUUCUUGAUUAUGUCUUUAGAAGCAUAUGGCACAGUUAUUUUUCCCUCCAGAAAAUUGUUUGAGACAUUGCUUCAAAAGAAGAAAGACUGCGUACAGA